rnacentral:rRNA from 1 species
UACGUAGGGCGCAAGCGUUUGUCCGGAAUUAUUGGGCGUAAAGAGCUCGUAGGCGGUUUGUCGCGUCUGCUGUGAAAACCUAAGGCUCAACCUUGGGCUUGCAGUGGGGUACGGGCAGACUAGAGUGUCGGUAGGGGGAUGACUGGAAUUCCUGGGUGUAGCGGUGAAAUGCGCAGAUAUCAGGAGGAACACCGAUGGCGAAGGCAGGUCUCUGGGCCACUACUGACGCUGGAGAAGCGAAAGCAUGGGGAGCGAACAGG